GGUGCACAGGCCGGUCUGUGCGGAGCGCGGAGUAGGUCUGGGAGUCUAACCGAUUCCUAAAUAGGCUUUGAACCGCUCCUUCUGGUUUUAGCGUGUCCACCUCUUUGCCACAGGUAUCUGGUGCUGCCAAUUCCAGAGCCUUUAGGGAUUCUGCUCAAUUUCUCAAAUUUCCCCAGUGCUGGCUUAGGAUUCAAUGUUCCCAUGUCUGCUGCAUCAUUGGUCACAUUUCUUAUUUUCCAGCUGUUAAAAUUUUGUUGCUAUGGGGAGUUAAAAAAAAAACUUUUUGUUGCUAUUUUUCCUUCCCUUUAAAAAAAUUCACUUACAGGGCCAGCCCCGUGGCUAAGUUCACACGCUCCGCUUUGGAAGCCCAGGGUUUUGCCAGUUCAGAUCCUGGGUGGAGACCUAGCACCACUCAUCAGGCCAUGCUGAGGCGGCGUCCCACACAGCACGAGCAGAGGCACUCACAACUGCAAUAUACACCUAUUUACUGGGGGGCUUUGGGAAAAAGAAGGAAAAAUUUUAAAAAAAUAAUAAUGAUUUUAAAAGUUAACUUCCUUGUUAAAAAAAUUCAUUUACCAUCAUUUUAGUGAGAUUUCAGGAAAAGAGAAAAGAAGAGAUGUGUGCAUGCUGAAUCCUCUCUGUUUACCUGGAAGAUUUACUUCUCACAUUUACCUUUUUCUAUUAUUUCAUUUUUUUAAUCCAUGUUUGCUCACUAGUUAUUAUUCAUUGUUUUCCUUUCCAAGUUACGACAAUUUAGUUGCUUUUUUCAAAGCAGCUAUAAGAGGAUAGCGCAUAGGAACAAUGAAAUAAUCAUCAGCCUUUUUAAGGCUUUGCGAGCUUCCAGUGCUGAUCUGUGUAGUAGGGGCAUGUACAUGCAUGUGUAUUUGCCAAGAGACAGCCGCAGCCUACCUGGGGGAGAUCAUAUACCCACAAAUGAUGACACAAGACCAGGAGAUAGCAAUACCCCUCCAAGAAGGAGAUAAAGUUGGUCAAAAUGAGUCAUGGUCAGGAGUGUGAAAUUUCCCCAGCCGUUACUUCUGCCUGGAGAAGAAUUUCCAAUUUGCUUAAACACUUGUCUAUCCCGCUCAUGGAGAAUUCUCUGAAGGAGCCGUCUCCAAAUUGUUUGAUUGACAUUCUUAUAAGAAAAGCAUUUUUAACACACUCUCAAAUAGGCAAAUUUAUUUACUUGCAAAUUAUACAUGUCUUACUCUAUCAAUAUUAUCCAUGGUAUUAAUACACAUACAAGUAGAGAUUUUUAAAGGAUGCAAUAGAAAAUAAAUAGAAUUAGAAGUUCUAAUAUUUUCCUUCAGCACCCCAGCAAAUCACCUUGCACAUCACAGAAUUCUCAAGCAGGCUGAGCAUCAGAGCACCUGCGAAGGUUUUUCAAAGUCCUGCCCCGGGCCUACCUGGCAUAUGAAUCAGAACUUCUGAGGGUGGGACCCUGGCAAGGGCGUUUUGAAAAAGUUUCCCCACUGAGUCCCAUGUGCACCUCUGGUUAAGAAAUACAACUCCAAAGAUUUCAAAAUUAGAGCCCUUGAAAAAGUAUAAAUAGUAGUCAAAUGGCUACCCAAGUGCAAAAAGCAGGCUAAUGAUACUGGGAGAUUCUGAGCUUGAUUAAAUAUCUGGAAUGUCACAUACCUCAAAAAAUUCUGUCUCCUUCCCACAACUCCAUAUUUUUCUUCCUCUAUAUCUGUCCUUUCUCUUUACUUCUUAGGAUAAAUUUAACUUUUCUGUUAUAACAAAUAGGUAUUCAAUGUAGAAAAUAUAGAUAAGCAAAAAGAAGAAAAUAAAAGCUCAUCUAUAAUUCUACCAUUCCAAGAAAACACUUAAAGUUUUUAUUUAUAGCCUUCCAGAUAUUUAUGGCAACACAUGCUUAAAAUGGGAUCAUAGGGGCCAGCCCGGUGGCGCAGGGGUUAAGUGCACACAUUCCGCUUCAGCGGCCGAGGGUUGGCUAGUUCGGAUCCCGCGUGCGGACAAGGCACCACUUGGCAAGCCAUGCUGUGGCAGGCAUCCCACAUAGAAAGUAGAGGAAGAUAGGCACGGAUGUGAGCUCAGGGCCAGUCUUCCUCAGCAAAAAGAGGAGGAUUGGCAGCAGAUGUUAGCUCAGGACUAAUCUUCCUCAAAAAGUAAGGGGGGGAGGAUCAUACUGUACAUGCUCUUUUAAACAUUUUCACUCGGUAAUUAUUUUUUUUCCAGGACAACAAGAAUGAAAGCUCCAAUAGAGCAGUGGACAGUGGUGGGACAGCUGAUCCGCGUGCACAGAGCAGGUAGUCAGAAGCCCCCUGAGUGCAGCUGAACAGCUGGGUCCUCCAACUAAUAUUCUCUCCCUUCCCCUUCUGAUCCUUCCUUAUUUUGCGUCUCUUGUUCUGAUUGCUUUCUACAUGCCCUUUCUCUUUUCUUUUACUUUCUCCCCUCAUCUCUCUUCACUAAAGCAACCGAGCAAGGCUUUCAGGACAAGGGUUAAUAUUUGACAGAAUGAAACUUCCCGAUAAUUUGACAAGGGAUGCCUAACCAGGAAGCUGAAGAGACAGCUGCACCCUUCUCUGCAAAGAGGAUCUUCUGAGCAAGCCCAGGCAAGAGCCCUCUGUUCUUGAUGACUAUCUGUUAUUUCCACUUGGGAGCCCAAAUUAAAGUUGCUUAUUUGCCUUAGAAGCAAAGUUCGGCCAGAGGCAGCCUGGGGUGCCCAGGUUGUCCGAGAAGAGCCAUUUGAGGGAAAUUGCAUUUCUGGAAUUGAAACCAAGGGAGGUGGAACUGCAGUCGACACAAGGCAAGGACUGAGAAGGAGGCCGGGAUGACAAUCCAGAACAAACCAGCCACAGCACUCCCACUUGGAGAAUAAUCAGUUUCCCCAGUGGUGUUAUAAAACCGGUUGCAAAAAACCAGUUCCUCUUGCUUUAGGUGGCAAGGAUCUUCCGAGUGCUGGUUACCCUCUCACAGCUUUUCAACCUGCUGCCAAAGAAAUUUCCAUCUGUAGUUAUUAAUCCACUGGUAUUGAGGAAAGUUCCUGAACUUUGAAAGCUUGUUUGGGCUGGUAUGAAAGAAAAUAAGCACUUUCCACCACAGCAGAGCCAAACUGUGCUUUCUAGAGGCUGUGGAAAAUUGUUUUCAUUAAACGCAAAUCAUUGCCCCCCAAACCAAUGUUCUUGGGGAUGAAAUUGUCUUUGGCUCCAUUAACUCUGAGAGGCUACAUUAGCCAGUUCUCUAACGGCACUCUGCUAUGGAAGGUUCUAGAAAAUGAAUAGAAAGUGAAUCACUUUCCACUCGCACCCCCAGUACCAACCCCUCACCCCAGCAGCAGCUUACCCCUUAUCAGUUGGAAAGGGGGUGGGGUGGGGGAUGUAGCAUGACUGUGCUUAUACUAUGAAGAUGCUGGGGUGGGGUUGGGGGGACAGCAAUUAAAUGCUGCAACUGGGGUGUUAGUCACAGUGGGUGGGACUCUCCCUGUCAUCCUGCAGAAGCAGAGCCAGAGAAGCUGAUGAUAGCUGAAGAGAGGGAGGGCCCCCCGCGCAACCUCUCUCUUUUCCCAGCAACAGCUGCUUCAUAAGCAGCACUUAGCAUAUGUACAAGGUCGUAAAAGAGGUGAGAAACAGGGAAACAGUAUUUUGACACAAACUUGUCCAGAGAGGAUCUCUUAUAGGAAGAACAUCUCUGGCCUAUAGCAGAAUUGAAACUAAAUUAAAAAAAUUUUUUUUUUUCUUCUUUGAGAAAGACUGGAAAAUUCUUUGCUUCCUCCAGGGAAACAAAUCUUUACUUGAGGUGGCACCUGAAAUUUCACCAUUAAUGAUAUAGUCCUUUGUGUAUUGCAGGCAACCUGGCAUCUAAGAGACCUAUAUAAAAAUGCAGAUACGUCAUAUAAGGCCAGCCAGCGAUUCUCACUGGAAUCAGAAUCCUUCAGAAGACCUUUACAUGCAGACUGCUGGCAUACACACACAUACUCCAUCCCCUGAGCCCUACUACAACCGCGACCUUUAGUCACUAGGUGGGUCUCCAGUUCUCUGAUGUGUUAGUCAUCACAGGCUGAUAUAGCAAAAUACCAUGGACUGGGUGACUUAAACAACAAACAUUUAAUUCUAUAGUUCUGAAGGGUGGAAGUCCAAGAUCCAGGUGCCAGGAGCUUCGGCUUCUGGUGAGAGCCCUUUCUGGCUUUCAAAUGACCACCUUCUUGCUGUAUCCUCAUACAACCUUUCCUUGGUGCAUGCACGGGAAGAGAGCAGCAUCUCUCAGCCUUCCUCCUCCUGUAAAGACACUUUUCCCAUCAAGAAGGUCCCAUCCUCACGACCUCAUCUACACCUAAUUACAUCCCAAAGGCCCCAUGUCCAAAUACCAUCACACUGGGGUUAGGGCUGCAACAUACGAAUUUGAGGAGGGGACACAAACCUUCAGACCAUAACAUCUGGCUUCUGACAGGACCUUGGCGUAGUUAACUUUAGAUCUUACUUUCGCAGGUUAGAAAUUGAUUUCCACUGUGGAUGAUGAUUUGAUUGCCUCAAUCAGAACUGACCCUCUAUAGUUAAGGAAGAAAUCAAUGGAAAAUUGGAAAUAGUUUUUUUUUUUUUAAUUUUGACACUUCAAAGGGGACUAUAUAGAAGAGUCAACACUGUCACUUUCCUCCCCUGAAUCCACGGCCCCCUCCAGUAUCCUAUCUCUUUCUUUUCUCCCUACGUUCUCUAUUGGUACAUUCCCUUUCUUCUCCUCCUCUUUAAGAAGGAAACAUAUUAGGAAUGUGGGUUGUGUUUGUGUUACCCUUGCUUAAUCAUUUCGUACUUUCUUUACAUAACAUGGGCUUAAUAUUUUACUUCGGGAUGUGGUUAUUUCAGUGUGUUGACCUUCUUUACUUGAUGCAUCAGUGGCUGUGAUGGGAAAAAAGGUCCUUACACCUGUCUCAUGACCUUAAGAGUGGAGGAAUCAUUCAUCAGGUGCUGAGGCCACAGGACCACUUAGAAAGUGUGAGAGGGGAGUAGGGGGUGAGCUGGGAGUUUGAAAAAACAAGACCAAGGACAAGAUUUCCCUACCUCCCAGAUUUGCAAAGAACAAGCUUCUGUUAUGCUAAAGUCAGUCCUAGUCAAUAAUCUACUGUGGGGAAGCAGCAACCAAAGAUCCCACGGGUUGCUCUGACUUGUACCUUACCUAAGAUUUCUCUUGAGUGGGUAUGUACAUGGAGCCCAGAGACACUCCAUAGGGUUGGGACAACACAACGUGCCUCUCCUACCUGUUGGCCUCCUUUUCCCCAUCUCAUUACAUAUAGGGGAAAUCAGAUUGAAAUUAACACCGAGGACCCCACAAAAGUUAAAGCAGAAACUAUAGGGUCGUGUAGGCAGAGUAUGUGGACAGAAGAAGGCGGAAAGCCAUUCCAGUUUCUCCUGGUGUUUAGGAGUACCUUGGAUGAUUAAGUUACUUUAUUUUCAAGGCUUCACUGGCCAAGCCCUCUUCUCCUCUAUGUGGGGGUGCUGCCAUGAACUAUCCAACAUGCUGCCUGUCGCACCCCUCCCAGCUCCACUCAGCAGCUCAGCCCCCUAUUCUGUGGAGAAGGUGCAGUGCAGAAUGAGAGAACUGCCUGGCCACUCAGCUGCCUAGACCAACAAGGCUCUUGUGUGCUGGUCCCAGACCAUUUCCGGAGACCAACAUAUGACAGAGCCACAACCUCCGGCCCCUCUGUCAGCUAUCUGCAGUUCCUCCUUUUUCUUUUCUUCUCCUAACCUCAUAAACAACGAUCGUUGAAGGUCCCACUAUCUACAGAUUCUGAGCCAAGAUUGGCUUUGGUUAAGAGGAAAUUCUCCGUUUUCUACAACAGUGGACAAAGGGUUUUAUUUUAUGAGUAGGAACUUUGCUUUCUCUAAUAUGGAUUAUUUAAUGUAUUUUUACUGUUCCUGCUUUUGUUCUCUAUAAUUAUAGUUCAUAGCAAAAUUGAUGUUACCCAAGAAAUAGACAAGGAACUUCUUGGUAAAGGAAGUAACCGAGGAGUUGAAAGCAGAGGCCCAAAAAGUAGUUCAGUUCUGCAUUCGAUUCCUUCCCUCAUUUGUAUGACCUCCCCGUCUAGAAAAAAAGAACAAUAGGAACAACAAAAUCAACAAAUUGUGUAACUCUGUUUCCCAACUUUCCUAAGAACAUUCAUGUUCCCUGUGCCACCCUUAUGACACACACAAUUCUUCACGGGAAACGUAAGCAAACAUAGAAAUCUGUUGUUACAAGCAGGUAGCUGUAGGCAUCUGCUGUCACCUCCCAAAGACAGGAAGAGCCCUCCUUUUUUUUGUUUUUUGUUUUUUUUGCUCAGGAAGAUUCACCCUGAGCUAACACGCAUUAUCAAUCUUCCUCUUUUUUUUGCUUGAGGAAGAUUAGCCCUGAGCUCACAUCUGUGCCAAUCCUCCUCUACUGUUUUAUAUGUGUGACACCUACACAGCAUCGUUGGUAACUGGAGUAGGUCUGUGCCCAGGAUCUGAACCCAUGAACCCAGGCUGCUGAAGCAGAGCAUGUGGAACUUUAACCAUCUGUCCACGGGGCCAGGCCCAGGAAGAGCUCUCUUUUGUCUAAAUGGCAGGUCCUAACCCUUCCCACUUUCUCCUCAGUAAGUUAAUGUCUAAAGGUGGUAUUUGGAAACAGUGGAGGAAAAGAUGGAUGAUCCAAUACAUGAUAUUGAGGCACCCAUAUAACCAUGUGGAAAAAAAUGCAUAUGAAGCAAAGAUUUAAACGUAAAAAUGAAAACAUAAAAGUACUAGGGGAGGGCUGGCCCAAUGGCGAAGCAGCUAUGUUCGCACGUUCCGCUUUGGCGGCCCGGGCUUCACUGGUUUGGAUCCUGGUUGCGGACAUGGCACCACUUGGCAAGCCAUGCUGUGGUAGGCAUCCCACAUAUAAAGCAGAGGAAGAUGGGCACAGAUGUUAGCUCAGGGCCAGCCUUCCUCAGCAAAAAGAGGAGGAUUGACAGCAGAUGUUAGCUCAGGGCUAAUCUUCCUUGAAAAAAAAAAGGUUUUUAAACGUGCUAGGGGAAAAGAAUAGGUUAAAAUUUUUAAUAGAUUUUUUAAGUAGUUUUUGGAGUGAGGAAGUACUACGUAAAACCAAGAAGUCAUAAAAGAUACAACUGUGUAAAACUGGCAGAUUCAUCUAUACAAAAAAUUCUCAUAAAUGCAUGGGAAAAAACACCAAAAACAAAGCCAAAAGACAAAUGACAAAUGGGAGAAAGUGUUUGCACACUUACCACAAAAGAAUCAUUUCCUUCAGACAAAAAGAUCUCAUAAAAUUUAAUAAGAAAAAUACCAAAAACCCAAUAGAAGAAAUAGAAACAGAUUACAAGCAGACAGUUUACAAAAAAAGAUAUGGAAAUGGCUCGAAGUCAUAUAAAAAGAUGUUCAGCCUCUCUCAAAAUAAAAGGAAAGGAAAUUGAAAUUACACUGACAUAUCGUUUUUUUCCUAUCAGACAAAGAGCAAAAAGUUUGAUAACAUACUUUCUGGGCAGGGCUAUGAGGAAACAAGCUUGCUACCCAUUGCUAAUGAGAGUAUAAAUUGGUACAAUCUCAACAGAAGAGAAUCUAACAUCAUUCAACACCAUUCGACCUUUGACUAGCAAUUCUACUUGUAGGAAUUGAUCCUACAGAUAUAUCCACACAUAUGCAAAACGAAGUAUGUUCAAGGUCAUUCACAACAGCUGUCUACGUGUAAAUGGAUUACCAAGCAGCGGUAAAAGAUGAGGCCUAGAACUACUGCAGCCAUCUUGUCAAGCAGCCAGAGCACGGAGCCGUCAAAGGAGGGAGGGCCACGCAGACAGCCAGAGCCAAAGCACCGCACCCUAUUUCUGGUUUUCCUGCACUGUAAAC
ensembl:lncRNA